rnacentral:rRNA from 1 species
UACGAAGGGGGCUAGCGUUGUUCGGAAUUACUGGGCGUAAAGGCGCGCAGGCGGCCGCUCAAGUCAGAUGUGAAAGCCCCGGGCUCAACCUGGGAACUGCAUUUGAUACUGAGUGGCUAGAGUUCGGAGAGGAGAGUGGAAUUCCCAGUGUAGAGGUGAAAUUCGUAGAUAUUGGGAAGAACACCGGUGGCGAAGGCGGCUCUCUGGACCGAUACUGACGCGUGAGGCGCGAAAGCGUGGGAGCAACAGG